rnacentral:rRNA from 1 species
GACGAACGCUGGCGGCGUGCUUAACACAUGCAAGUCGAACGGAAAGGCCCUGCUUUUGUGGGGUGCUCGAGUGGCGAACGGGUGAGUAACACGUGAGUAACCUGCCCUUGACUUUGGGAUAACUUCAGGAAACUGGGGCUAAUACCGGAUAGGAGCUCCUGCUGCAUGGUGGGGGUUGGAAAGUUUCGGCGGUUGGGGAUGGACUCGCGGCUUAUCAGCUUGUUGGUGGGGUAGUGGCUUACCAAGGCUUUGACGGGUAGCCGGCCUGAGAGGGGGACCGGCGACAUUGGGACUGAGGUACGGCCCAGACUCCUACGGGAGGCAGCAGUGGAGAAUAUUGCACAAUGGGCGGAAGCCUGAUGCAGCAACGCCGCGUGCGGGAUGACGGCCUUCGGGUUGUAAACCGCUUUCGCCUGUGACGAAGCGUGAGUGACGGUAAUGGGUAAAGAAGCACCGGCUAACUACGUG